rnacentral:rRNA from 1 species
GACAGAGGCCUCAAGCGUUAGGCGGAAUCACUGGGCUUAAAGCGUGUGUAGGCGGAUCGUUAAGUGUCUUGUGAAAUCCCCACGGCUCACCCGUGGGAACUGCUGGGCAUACUGGCGAUCUUGGGCCAACUAGGGGCAACUGGAACAAGCGGUGGAGCGGUGAAAUGCGUAGAUAAUCGCUUGGAACGCCAAAGGGUGAAACAGGUUGCUGGG